rnacentral:rRNA from 1 species
CUUUACUGUAACUUGAGAUUGAAAUUGGACUUUACUUGCGCAGUAUAGGUGGGAGGCGUUGAAAAUUUUCUUGCGGGAAGAUUGGAGCCAUCAGUGAGAUACCACUCUUGUAAUGUUAGAUUUCUAACUUUGGAUCAUGAUCUGGUCAAAGGACAGUUUCAGGCGGGCAGUUUGACUGGGGCGGUCGCCUCCCAAACGGUAACGGAGGCGUACAAAGGUUUCCUCUGAACGGGUAGAAAUCGUAUCUAGAGUGUAAAGGCAUAAGGAAGCUUGACUGUGAGACCUACAAGUCGAGCAGGGACGAAAGUCGGUCUUAGUGAUCUGACGGUGCCGUGUGGAAGGGCCGUCGCUCAACGAAUAAAAGUUA